rnacentral:rRNA from 1 species
GCAUUAGACAGAGAUGUUUAUUUCUUCGGACUUCUUACAAGGUGCUGCAUGGUUGUCGUCAGCUCGUGCCGUGAGGUGUCAGGUUAAGUCCUAUAACGAGCGCAACCCCUAUUUUUAGUUGCUAACAGAUUAAGCUGAGGACUCUAAAGAGACUGCCGGUGCAAACCGCGAGGAAGGUGGGGAUGACGUCAAAUCAUCACGGCCCUUACGUCCUGGGCUACACACGUGCUACAAUGGUAAUGAC